GUAAGAAAUUAGAGACUUGGAGGUCAAGGCUGAUAAAUCCUCUACUCACAAUGCAUACAAAGACAAAAAACUGGAUACUCUAUGUAUGGGCACUAGCUGGCAUGCCCCUUUAAAAACCACGUGUCGUUGAGGCUCCUUCUCUGGGCUAGCACCAGCGCUCACGGUGAUAAGGUUCCUGGGCUUGGCCAGCCCAGCUGCUUUCUCGGGGAGAAUGAGCACAAAGACCUUCCCAGUCUGAGAGAACAUGGAGGCCCUCCAGGGUGGGGGAGCUCUGGUCACUGGAAUGCAGGUCAUACAGGGAUGAAACCCCUUGGCAAGCACACAGCCUUUGUUCCCCUGCCUACUUCAGCAAGAUUCUCUUGGGGAGCAGUAGCAGGUACACUUUGCUGUGCAGCCGGCCACCACUGGACCUUCCCUGGAAGAAGCUGACCUGGAUAGAGAAUUUGCUGCUCUACCUUGUUACGAAAACGUCAGUCAGGUGUCAGCGUUCUGCCCUCCCUACUCUUCAUAUUACAACACUGGCAUCAGAAGUCACAAAAGUGACAAGAAGCCACACAUGGCAGGGUGGAUACUGGGGCAGCGGCGUAGGAGGAGUUUGGAGGCAUAUGUCUACCCAUAUACGCACAGCCUUCUGGAAGAAACCUCACAUGCAGUAAGUGCAAUAAAAUAUGCAGAUUUUAAAAAGUAACAAAAGCAGGUCAAUGAUCGCCUCGGCGAGGGGCAGG
rnacentral:lncRNA from 1 species